GAAAAUUAGGAACUCUGGAGACAGUCUGGCCUGCAUGCAAAUUCCUGCUCUACUUACUAACCCAGCAGUGGACACGAGGCCCCUGUGAGACCAUGGGAGUUUAUUGCCGGUUUUAAGAUGAGCCCUGGGGGUAGAACUGUGUUUUCAAGUUUUGAAGUCUCAUUCCAGGCUAUAUACUGACAUUCUAGCCACUAGCUCUGUUGUGUGUCUUUUCUAGGAGCAGACACAUGCCCAAGGCCUGCUGGAUUUUAGUGAUGGUUUAGCCAAGACCCAGGAUUGCUUUCUGCUCAUAGGGUCUUUGGGCCAGCUAAGGGAGAGAGAACUGCCAUUUACGGAGCCUCUUGUCAGGAUUUGAACACCGUUCCCACCUGCCCCAAACUGGCAACAUCUCUCAGGAGACCUUGCUUUCUCCUGGACCUCCAACAUCAUGGUUUCCCAUUUCAUGGGUUCUCUCAGAUUAAAAGGAAACCCAAUUUUCUCCCCAGAAGACGUAUAAUAAACGAUGAGGACUGCCUACUAUAACCAGCUAAUAAAAAUCUCUUUUGCGCCAGUCAGCUUGGUCCUUGUGCCU
rnacentral:lncRNA from 1 species